rnacentral:rRNA from 1 species
AGCGGCGGACGGGUGAGUAACGCGUGGGUAAUCUGCCUCAUACAGGGGGAUAACAGUUGGAAACGGCUGCUAAUACCGCAUAAGCGCACAGUACCGCAUGGUACGGUGUGAAAAACUCCGGUGGUAUGAGAUGGACCCGCGUCUGAUUAGGUAGUUGGUGGGGUAACGGCCUACCAAGCCGACGAUCAGUAGCCGACCUGAGAGGGUGACCGGCCACAUUGGGACUGAGACACGGCCCAA